GAUGAACGCUAGCGGCAGGCUUAAUACAUGCAAGUCGAGGGGCAUCAAGGUACACGAAAGUGUAUUGUUGGCGACCGGCGGACGGGUGAGUAAUAGGUAGGUAACCUACCUCAUACUGAGGCAUAGCUGGGAGAAAUUCCAGGUAAUUCCUCAUGAGGUUAUAUGACACAUGUGAUAUAAUCAAAGGUAUCGCAAGGUACUGGUAUGAGAUGGGCUUACUGACCAUUAGCUAGUUGGUGAGAUAAGAGCUCACCAAGGCGAAGAUGGUUAGGGGUUUGAGAGAGAGAUCCCCCACAUUGGAACUGAGAUACGGUCCAGACUCCUACGGGAGGCAGCAGUAGGGAAUAUUGGGCAAUGGGCGGAAGCCUGACCCAGCCAUGCCGCGUGAAGGAAGACGGCCUUAGGGUUGUAAACUUCUUUACUAUGCGACUAACUAGAUUUACGAGAUAAUUCUAUAGAAUGUAGCAUAGCGAAAAAGCAACCGGA
rnacentral:rRNA from 1 species